rnacentral:rRNA from 1 species
UACGGAGGGUGCAAGCAUUAAUCGGAUUUAUUGGGCGUAAAGGGCGCGUAGGCGGGAAGCCAAGUCAGAUGUGAAAUCCCAAGGCUCAACCUUGGAUGUGCAUUUGAAACUGGUUUUCUUGAGGGUAGUGCGGAGAAAACGGAAUUCCACAAGUAGCGGUGAAAUGCGUAGAUAUGUGGAAGAACACCGGUGGCGAAAGCGGUUUUCUAGCUUAUUCCUGACGCUGAGUGCGCGAAAGCAAGGGGAUCAAACAGG